rnacentral:rRNA from 1 species
UGAGGAAUAUUGCCCAAUGGACGCAAGUCUGAGGCAGCAACGCCGCGUGGGCGAUGAAGGCCUUCGGGUUGUAAAGCCCUUUUCUGGGGGAAGAGGAAGGACGGUACCUCAGGAAUAAGUCACGGCUAACUACGUGCCAGCAGCCGCGGUAAUACGUAGGUGGCAAGCGUUAUCCGGAUUCACUGGGCGUAAAGCGCGUGCAGGCGGUUUCGUAAGUCGGACGUGAAAGCUCCUGGCCUAACUGGGAGAGGUCGUUCAAUACUUCCGGACUUGAGAGUGGGAGAGGGAGGUGGAAUUCCGGGUGUAGUGGUGAAAUGCGUAGAUAUCCGGAGGAACACCAGUGGCGAAAGCGGCCUCCUGGCCCAUUUCUGACGCUCAGACGCGAAAGCUAGGGUAGCAAACGG